AUGGAGGUCUCUCUAUCACUGCCCUAAAUUAGUGAUUUCUGUUCGCCUCAGUCAGGGUUUAGUUAGUGAGUCGUCUAUGAAAGGGGAAGGUUGUGAUUCAUCUUUGUUGAAGACAUUCAGUUUUGUGUUUGUGUAAUUAUGCGAAGAAAUUUUAGUGCCAAGAGCUUUGGCUCAGCUGUAAUUGAGAUUGCUACCUAAAGGUUAUAGCUUCUGAGUCUCCAUGUAUAGAAAAUCAAGUCCUAUAUCUUUGAUUUCGGAAAAUUUAAGUUAUUUCUCGAUUUGAAGGGGAUUGCUGAAUAUGUUUAUGUUACACUGCAUGUUAGUUUUAGUGUUCUGGUGUCUUGACAAUAUUUAUAGCUUUGUUCCCUCGGAUUUGAGGCCAGCUUGAGUUUGUUCUUGUAGGUUUUUGCAUAAUCUUUUGUGUUAAUGUUGAGAAAAAUUUAACAUAUACUUUCAUGUGUGCUAGUAUUUUCUAGUUUAAUACCAUCAUCUAUGAGCUACAAGAAGACCUAAUUUGAGAGCUUUGUUAUUGUUUUUGCUCUUUUCUUUCUUAUUAUUAGUUAUGCUUCAUUAUCUGGUUUUAGGGUGUUUAGGUUUGAGAGAGAGAGAAAGAGAGAGAGUUUUAUUUUCCUAUAAGAGGGAGAACCUUGAUCGUAUCAAAACCUAAUAAAAUCACAACUCAUAAGGUAAUUUAACCUUUAUUAUAAGUUUAUAAGAGCAUACUAUUCUUUUGUUUUUGAGGGUCAUAUACGUACGUAUCAUUUUCAGUUUAUGAUAGGCAAAUGCUCUGUUAUAUAUAUAGACGAUACUAUGGAUGAUGACGGAUAUGAGCUUUUUUUAAUCAAACUUGUUCUCAUGAGCUCUUCAAUUAAUCAAAAAAAUAUUUUCUAUUCUCAUAAAAUCUAUAUAGAAUAAUCAGUAAGAUUGAAUGAUACCCCAACACAACUAAGUCUUCCUGAAGGAGUAAUUUUUUAGUAUAAGCAGAGAAGUUCAACGUAGCCAAGUUCCCCUACAGUUGAAAUUUCUGUACAUUCUGAUAUUGGUUCAGUCCAAGUUCCCCUAC
rnacentral:lncRNA from 1 species